rnacentral:rRNA from 1 species
UGCUCAAUGGAUUUUUAAAUUGCUGUAGUAUUUUGACUAUACAAAGGUAUUGUAAUAAGAUUUUAAUUGAAUGCUAAAAGAAUGGAAAUUUAAAAAAAAACUUUUUUAAAAAUAAAAAUUGAAUUUUUUUUAAUUUGUGCAAAAACAAUUAUUAUUAUUAAAGACAAGAAGACCCUAAGAAUUUAUGAUUUUGCAAUUAGAAUUUUUUUCAAAAAAUCUUGAUUGGGGCGAUCAAAAAAUAUUAAUAACUUUUUAAAUUUAAAUUGAUCUAUUAUUAAUAAACUAAUGAAUUAAAUACUCUAGGGAUAACAGCGUAAUAAUUUUUGAUAGAUCUUAUUGACAAAAUAGUUUGCGACCUCGAUGUUGGAUUAGGAUCCUUUUUUAAUGAAGAAGUUAAAAAAAGAAGUUUGUUCAACUUUUAAAUUCCUACUUGAUCUGAGUUCAAACCGGACAGCAUUUAUUUAAUCAUUGACCAA